CCCUUAGAUGUCCGGGGCUGCACGCGCGCUACACUGAAGGAAUCAGCGUGCUAAAACCAUUGUCGAAAGGCAUUGGUAAACCCAUUAAAAUCCUACGUGAUUGGGAUCGGGAAUUGCAAUUAUUUCCCUUGAACGAGGAAUUCCCAGUAAGUGUGGGUCAUAAGCUCGCGUUGAUUACGUCCCUGCCCUUUGUACACACCGCCCGUCGCUGCCCGGGACUGAGCCGUUUCGAGAAAAGCGGGGACUGCUGCUGUCGGGGCUUUCGGGCCCUGGCUUCGGUGGAAACCGCUUUAAUCGCAGUGGCUUGAACCGGGCAAAAGUCGUAACA
rnacentral:rRNA from 1 species